AGGUAAUUUGCAUAGGCUACUGGGAGAGAAGGCAGCUCCACAGGCAUCCACAGAUCCAUGUGUUAUAACCACAUAUCUGCAAUGGCUUCCACAAGUUCACCUGGAACCUCCAAAUCUAGCACCUUCGACUGGGAGGCAGUUUAUGGAGAGACUGCUGAGAAGGCUUCAGGAAGUUCUGCAACAUCAGCCUGUGGAUUUUGACUAUUUACACUUUUACACUGUUUUACACUGGUUUAAGUCAUGAAAUGGGACUUGUACCCUUUUGCAUAGACCAGUACACAUUAACCCUCAUAUGCAUUAUCAUUGCAUUUACUGUAAUUUGUUAUUAAAUAUAGAGUCAAAUUCUUACUUGAAUAUA